GACGCUAAAGCUCGGCGUUUUCUGGUGGCACGGAUGUCCGUUUGUAAAGCAGCUGGGCUGGAGCCUGCAGGAUUUGCAGGCUUCUGUCUUGAAGGAAGUCUGGGAGGCUCAAUUUCCAGCGUUUUCACCUUGGAGCCAGCCUCGCCAGGGCCAAACCACCGAGUAGCCUGACUGCCAACAGCCUCAGCAGCUCAGUUUGAAGCACCAGAUGGAAAUCUUCUCUAUGAGGAUCAAGACUCAAUAUCAAAAACACAAAUGCAAGUAAAUACACAAAGAACAUUCAAAGUUAAAAAUGAAGAAGCCUCAGAACAUCCAGAUACCGCAGAAAAUCUUCCAGCAGUGAAUCCAUCAGUUAAUGACCUAAUAUUUCAAUUAGGUUUAAACAAAGUGGUAGAAAUUGAUCUAGAACACUUGAAAGAUACUGUUGGAAGACGUAUAUUAAUGGCAGAAAUGAAGAUACAACCAAAGAGUGUCCCUUACACUGAUACAGAGAGCUUUCCAGAUGCUAUUGGAAGAGGUAUAAUAAAGGAUGAAAUCAAGACACAAUCCAAGAGUCAUCCUGAGACUGAUACAGAACACAUGACAGAUACUGUUGGAAGAGAAAAAGCAAUUGAUGAACUCAAGAAACAUCAUAAGAGUCACCCUGAGACUGACACAGAACGCUUCCUAAAUGUUGUUGGAAGAAGUAUUAUGAAGGGUGAAUUCAAGACACAACCCAAGAGUCGUCUUGGGACUAAUGUAGAAGGCGUGACAGAUAAAACUAGAAGAGGUGUAAUAAAGGGACAAUUCAAGAUACAAUCAAUGAAUCUCCCUGAGACUGAUACAGAACGCAUGACAGAUACUGUUGGAAGAGAAAAAGCAAUUGAUGAACUCAAGAAACAUCAUAAGAGUCACCCUGGUAUGAAUUUAUUUAAAAACAAAAAUGCAUUCUCAUAUCAAGAAGAUUUCUACGCCAGGCACAUUGCACCAAGUAAAUAUAAAACAAAAGUGAUUAAUUUAUCACCCUUUGAUGAUGAAGGCAAGGUCAAUAGAAAGAGUCACCAUGAGGGGCAUCGAAAAAAUUUGACUGUAAACAAAAAGAAAGGUGAACUUGAUAUUCUGCCUGCUGUGAUCGCUACAACUAGAAAACCUAUCUAUAAAGCAAUGAAAUUGCAAGAGUGGAAGCCUUAUGAAAAUAACACUGCCUUGAGUGGAUGCUGCUUAUUGAACAAUAAUGAGAAAGAUCCUGAAUAAACAGGGUAGACCCAGAUCAUGGAGGUAGUAAAAAAAAAGUACAACUUACAUGGCAAGAAGAAAUCAUCAGUUGAGUGAGCAUAAAGUAUCAGUCAAGAGAAAAUAAAUGGAGGAAUUCUUCACUAAUUACUGAAACUGUGAAAGGUCCCAGAGAACUCUUCUUUACCAUGUGGAACAAAUUUGAAGCUAAGAUAAAAGCCUCUGUUGCU